rnacentral:lncRNA from 1 species
UGGACAGAUCCGAAAGUCAGGCACUUUCGGCGGCACCUUCGGCGGCCGAAAGUCCCAGACAGAGACGAAAGUCUCUUUUCGGGGGCAACUUCGGCAGCCGAAUGCUGCCUCCACAAAAGAGGGUUCGGCGGCCGAAAGUCACUUCGGCGGCCGAACCUGAGCUUCUCCCGAAGGGCAGAAACUCAGCUCCUCUAUGCACAUUUUGCCUCCCAAGCUCAAAUCAUG